rnacentral:rRNA from 1 species
UGGCGAACGGGUGAGUAACACGUGAGUAACCUGCCCUUAACUCUGGGAUAAGCCUGGGAAACUGGGUCUAAUACCGGAUAUGACCUUCCAUCGCAUGGUGGUUGGUGGAAAGCUUUUUGUGGUUUUGGAUGGACUCGCGGCCUAUCAGCUUGUUGGUGAGGUAAUGGCUUACCAAGGCGACGACGGGUAGCCGGCCUGAGAGGGUGACCGGCCACACUGGGACUGAGACACGGCCCAGACUCCUACGGGAGGCAGCAGUGGGGAAUAUUGCACAAUGGGCGCAAGCCUGAUGCAGCGACGCCGCGUGAGGGAUGACGGCCUUCGGGUUGUAAACCUCUUUCAGUAGGGA